GAUGAACGCUGGCGGCGUGCCUAAUACAUGCAAGUCGAGCGAACAGACGAGGAGCUUGCUCCUCUGACGUUAGCGGCGGACGGGUGAGUAACACGUGGAUAACCUACCUAUAAGACUGGGAUAACUUCGGGAAACCGGAGCUAAUACCGGAUAAUAUAUUGAACCGCAUGGUUCAAUAGUGAAAGACGGUUUUGCUGUCACUUAUAGAUGGAUCCGCGCCGCAUUAGCUAGUUGGUAAGGUAACGGCUUACCAAGGCAACGAUGCGUAGCCGACCUGAGAGGGUGAUCGGCCACACUGGAACUGAGACACGGUCCAGACCCCUACGGGAGGCAGCAGUAGGGGAUCUUACGCAAUGGGCGAAAGCCUGACGGAGAAACGCCGCGUGAGUGAUGAAGGUCUUCGGAUCGUAAAACUCUGUUAUUAGGGAAGAACAAAUGUGUAAGUAACUAUGCACGUCUUGACGGUACCUAAACAGAAAGCCACGGCUAACUACGUG
rnacentral:rRNA from 1 species